UUGACAGUCUCAGAGAUCAAAGUCCUCUUUUUAUCAAUUGAACAGAUACAGCGCAGGGAGUAAAAAUUUCCCAUCUGCCUAAACCGCUGCUCUGGAGAUUUUACCUAUAAAGGAUGAGAGGAGUUUGAAAGCUCUUUGCCUUUGUCUUCCUCCUGAGAGG
rnacentral:sRNA from 1 species